rnacentral:lncRNA from 1 species
UGCGUAUAGGUAUUUGAGUAAUGGUCAUAGAGAUGAGAAAUUGUUAUUUGUCAAUAACCUAUUAAAAUAUAAUGUGUAGAGAUAUUACGUUCAUGUAACAUGUUACGUGGACACGUUUAUCCUUCAAAAUAGUAAAAAAUGAUCUCCAAUAACUGGAUGUAAGCAGGACUACUAGGUCUUUGCUUAAUAUUUGUUACAAAAUCAGGUGUUAUCAAAUAUAUAACAAAACAUUACGAAGAAAGUAAAAAAGUUGAUUCCAGUGGCAGAGCAUGAACCGGUGGACCAUACCAAGGCGCGGCGGUGGCGUCAACUCGGCACAACGCAGCGUAAUGCCCAUCGCACCCCUGCUCUGCCUUCCCACAUGUAGCUUCAGUCUCUAAGGAACAAUUCAUUCGGUUGUAAAAAUGUAUAAGAUAUUUGUUGAUCUGUCAGGAGUUAUAGAUAUCUGUGUCCCAAAACCAUAGUAUCAUCUAACUGUAUUUUUGUGCUCUUAAAAUUAAAUUAAAUUAAAAUACCUUAAUUAUCUCUGUAGUUUUUCAUGUAAUUUCAGUUAGAUAGUGAUGAAUAAGUUUUUAGCUUUCUUUUCAUGACUGAUAAAAGCUAAAAGCAUAACAAUUCUUGUUUAUAACGGUAAAAUGUUUUAUAAUUAUGAGAUUUUAAGUAUUUAACUUUCUUUAAGAGUGUUCCAGAUUGAGCCAUUUUAUAGUUGAUGUCUAAACUGCCAUAGCUUGUUUUGUACACUAAAAUCUACAAGCUAGGAGUGAUUUCAGAAAAAGUUUGAUAUUUUUAUUCGUUAUGAGUUGUGUUUUACAAUUUUAUCCUCGUGUUUUCUCUCUGUGAUUUAAAAUCGCUUGCUCAAGGUUUCCGGCUUGUUGUAAAUAUGAUCUUUUAUUAUUUACUAGCGGGCCCGGCGCGCUUUGCUGCGCAUUUCAAUAAUUUUUUGCAAAAGUUGCCCGCGGCUUCGCACGCAAUUUCCCGUUGA